GAAGAAGCAAAUGACCAGUCUCCCAGACACAGGAAAUACUAACCCACACUGCCUCCUUCUUUCCAUUUAUUGGACCUUAUCCAGGCUACCAUUGCACCCAAACAAGAGUCCAGACUAUGCACAGCCUCCCUCCCCCCUCAGAUGUUAUGAAGAAGUGGAGUUGUGUGUCAUUAGUGUAUGCCAGUUACUAUGCUUCAUAUAGAUGUUAAUCAACACUGGGAACAAGACUGUAACUUGUGGCAAAGACCAUGAAGCUGAAAUACAGUCUCCCAAUGCUAGUCUCCACACACGACCCUCUAGAUAGGAUUGGAACAGCUGUAAAACAGUGUCUCCAAUGCCCAUACCACAGAGUUGAUCAUGGAGGACACCAAGGUCUAUGGCAGGGUUUCCCAAAUGUGGAUCUUAAGCUGUUUUUGGACUACAACUCCCAUCAUCCCUAGCUAGCAGGACCAGUGGUCAGGGAUGAUGGGAAUUAUAGUCCAAAAACAGAUGCAGACCCAAGUUUGGGAAACCCUGGUCUAGAGUAUCAAAGCCACAGAAAGAUCGAGAAGCAGAAAGAGCCAUACUCGCCUGUUCUUGAUACGAGCCAUCCAUUAUGGCAACGAAAAACUGUGUCUGAACCCAGAUUGAAAUUGAGGUAAUUUGCAUCCUCUGGGAACUCCUGUAAUUAGGGAAUUUACACUUCACACACCAUAGUCUGCCAAGAUGUAGCAAGUGCCUCUGAAAGUACUGAAAGGACUCUUAGCUGAACUAGCAUUACAUAACAAACAGGUUGAUGAAAACAGGGAAGGAAUGGGGGAUUCUGCUGAUGGGUGACAGACAUUGGUCCCCACAUGAGAUGAAACAGACACUCAUGUGUGUGUGCACACACAGGUGUGCAAUCUAAGAAAAUUGUACUUAUUUUGGUCCUGAGAAAGAUGGAGCUCAGCUAAGUUGAUGAAUAUUAAAAACCCACCCCAUUUCCACUACACCACUGUCUGUUGCCAGUGCCUUUGCUGUGACAUUCAGAUCAUACCAAGAAACUCUGGAAGUGCCAAAACUGUCAUCUCAUGCGACUUUUUGUUAUCCUCCUUUGUCUCGGCACUGAAAGGAGCUAACGGUUUGCCCUUCCCUCCCUACAGAUUCACAAGCUGCAGCAGAAGGCUUGCCCUUUCUGCUGUUGAAUAGCAGCACCAACUCUUCCACUUAUUUGCAGUAUGACCUUGAACAGCUCAUUCAUUUCUCCCCAAUUUGCCCAACCAUGUGUGUUUUUUUAAAGGGAGGCUCACUGUAGCAUUACUCUGGUAUUGUGUGGGCUGAUUAGUUAAAUUUUGAACAGCACUUUGAAUGGAUAAAGUGCUAUUAUAGUGGAAGCUGAAAUGUCAGUCAUUCUUUUUUUUUUAAUAUAGAGGAGAUGAAAAUUAACCUUUGAAAUCUGAAAGCCACCUUGGUUGCUGAAUAGAUUUUUUUUUUUUUUGUAUUAAAAGCUUUGUUCCACCUAGAGUUGGCUCAGCAGGGAUAAGAAAAGGUUACUUAGCCUUGGCAGGAAUUGCAUAAAUAUAGGGUAAUAUUAGUAAUUACAUACAUGAAGGCAGUAUCCUUUUGUGAUGCAUCAAUGAUGGCUUAGCAUAAGUUAUUUGAGCUUAUAUUGCCUAAAGAUACCUUGAAAUCUAGAAAAAUAAUAUAUUCCUUUCUGUUAGGGUCUAUAUGCUAGCAGGGAUGGAGCCUAAGCAAUAGGGGAGCCCAGAGUUACUUGGAACCAGGGGAUGCUUGUUUGAAUCAAGUGGAGAGCCUUUCUAGGGAGAAGACAUGGUUGCAUGGGAACAGAGGAGUCAGUGGAAUGCAGUGGUGAGUCCUCAUGGGAGUGAAAGCCAGGGUUACCUGGCAGGGUAGGAGGCUAGAUGGCAUGGAGUGACGAACCUUUUUGAGAAAGGAGAUGGGGAGCACCUGGAAGCAGAGCUGAGUGGAUACAGUGCACUGCAGAGUUCAGAUAGGAAGCCACAGUUUUUGGCAUUGAAGGUCACCGGAGUCAAUGAAAUCAGGAGGUUAGUGUCGGAAGCAAAGCAGGCAGCAGGAGCUUACUUCACACACACUUCUUUGGUUUUAAGUAAAUGCAUGAAUGCGUCAGUGGGGAAGAGUACUCUGAUUCAACCUCCCAUUGCCUCCAUGAGUUGGAGCGUGGCCUUGUGAAGAGAGGAGGCUGCUGCAUUCAUGGAAGCGCCACACUUGUUUUACAGUCAUGGAAGACCAGGGUUCUGAAAUGUGCAGAGGCUCAACGCAGCAGGAGACUCUUCGUUCUUGAAGGUCACCCUCUAUGAGUUGGAACUAGGCAACAUGGAUAGUAAUGUGGCUCAUCACUGUGCCGCCGCUCCCCUGCCCCCAUGUUUACACAUAAAGAAUACCUGGAGAGGGUUUUGAUCUAUUCCAAAAGGGUUCUCCUUGCACAUUCACAGUAAUUUGGGUAACUUAUUAAUGCUUGUAAAAGAGCAAAUUAUUGGAAUUC
rnacentral:lncRNA from 1 species